rnacentral:rRNA from 1 species
UUUGAUCCUGGCUCAGAUUGAACGCUGGCGGCAUGCCUUACACAUGCAAGUCGAACGGCAGCACGGGAGCAAUCCUGGUGGCGAGUGGCGAACGGGUGAGUAAUACAUCGGAACGUGCCCAAUCGUGGGGGAUAACGCAGCGAAAGCUGUGCUAAUACCGCAUAAGAUCUACGGAUGAAAGCAGGGGAUCGCAAGACCUUGCGCGAAUGGAGCGGCCGAUGGCAGAUUAGGUAGUUGGUGAGGUAAAGGCUCACCAAGCCUUCGAUCUGUAGCUGGUCUGAGAGGACGACCAGCCACACUGGGACUGAGACACGGCCCAGACUCCUACGGGAGGCAGCAGUGGGGAAUUUUGGACAAUGGGCGCAAGCCUGAUCCAGCCAUGCCGCGUGCAGGAUGAAGGCCUUCGGGUUGUAAACUGCUUUUGUACGGAACGAAACGGCUCUUUCUAAUAAAGAGGGCUAAUGACGGUACCGUAAGAAUAAGCACCGGCUAACUACGUGCCAGCAGCCGCGGUAAUACGUAGGGUGCAAGCGUUAAUCGGAAUUACUGGGCGUAAAGCGUGCGCAGGCGGUGAUGUAAGACAGUUGUGAAAUCCCCGGGCUCAACCUGGGAACUGCAUCUGUGACUGCAUCGCUGGAGUGCGGCAGAGGGGGAUGGAAUUCCGCGUGUAGCAGUGAAAUGCGUAGAUAUGCGGAGGAACACCGAUGGCGAAGGCAAUCCCCUGGGCCUGCACUGACGCUCAUGCACGAAAGCGUGGGGAGCAAACAGGAUUAGAUACCCUGGUAGUCCACGCCCUAAACGAUGUCAACUGGUUGUUGGGUCUUCACUGACUCAGUAACGAAGCUAACGCGUGAAGUUGACCGCCUGGGGAGUACGGCCGCAAGGUCGAAACUCAAAGGAAUUGACGGGGACCCGCACAAGCGGUGGAUGAUGUGGUUUAAUUCGAUGCAACGCGAAAAACCUUACCCACCUUUGACAUGUACGGAAUUUGCCAGAGAUGGCUUAGUGCUCGAAAGAGAACCGUAACACAGGUGCUGCAUGGCUGUCGUCAGCUCGUGUCGUGAGAUGUUGGGUUAAGUCCCGCAACGAGCGCAACCCUUGUCAUUAGUUGCUACAUUUAGUUGGGCACUCUAGUGAGACUGCCGGUGACAAACCGGAGGAAGGUGGGGAUGACGUCAAGUCCUCAUGGCCCUUAUAGGUGGGGCUACACACGUCAUACAAUGGCUGGUACAAAGGGUUGCCAACCCGCGAGGGGGAGCUAAUCCCAUAAAACCAGUCGUAGUCCGGAUCGCAGUCUGCAACUCGACUGCGUGAAGUCGGAAUCGCUAGUAAUCGUGGAUCAGAAUGUCACGGUGAAUACGUUCCCGGGUCUUGUACACACCGCCCGUCACACCAUGGGAGCGGGUUCUGCCAGAAGUAGUUAGCCUAACCGCAAGGAGGGCGAUUACCACGGCAGGGUUCGUGACUGGGGUGAAGUCGUAACAAGGUA